UACGUAGGGUGCAAGCGUUGCCCGGAUUUAUUGGGCGUAAAGGGCGCGCAGGCGGCUACGCACGUCCGUUGUGAAAUCGCUCGGCUCAACUGGGCGGGUGAGCGGCGAUCGGCGUAGCUGGAGCAAGCUAGGGGGCAAUGGAAUUCCCGGUGUAGUGGUGGAAUGCGUAGAUAUCGGGAGGAACACCAGUGGCGAAGGCGGUUGCCUGGAGCUUUGCUGACGCUGAGGCGCGAAAGCGUGGGGAGCGAGUCCGG
rnacentral:rRNA from 1 species